rnacentral:rRNA from 1 species
CCUACGGGAGGCUGCAGUGAGGAAUAUUGGUCAAUGGGCGGGAGCCUGAACCAGCCAAGCCGCGUGAGGGAAGAAGGUACAGCGUAUCGUAAACCUCUUUUGUCAGGGAACAAAGGCGGGGACUAGUCCCCGGAUGAGGGUACCUGAAGAAAAAGCAUCGGCUAACUCCGUGCCAGCAGCCGCGGUAAUACGGAGGAUGCGAGCGUUAUCCGGAUUUAUUGGGUUUAAAGGGUGCGCAGGCGGCCUGUUAAGUCAGCGGGAAAAGCCCGGGGCUCAACCCCGGCGAGCCGGUGAAACUGGCGGGCUGGAGUUGGAGAGAAGUACGCGGAAUGCGCGGUGUAGCGGUGAAAUGCUUAGAUAGCGCGCAGAACCCCGAUUGCGAAGGCAGCGUACCGGCUCCACACUGACGCUGAGGCACGAAAGCGUGGGUAUCGAACAGGAUUAGAUACCCUUGUAGUC